rnacentral:tRNA from 1 species
GAGGGUAUAGCUCAAGCGGUAGAGUGCAUGCUUAGCAAGCACAAGGUCCUGGGUUCAAUCCCUGUUACCUCC